rnacentral:rRNA from 1 species
UGAGACACGGUCCAGACUCCUACGGGAGGCAGCAGUGAGGAAUAUUGGUCAAUGGGCGAGAGCCUGAACCAGCCAAGUAGCGUGCAGGAUGACGGCCCUAUGGGUUGUAAACUGCUUUUAUGCGGGGAUAAAUUGGCCCACGUGUGGGUUUUUGCAGGUACCGCAUGAAUAAGGACCGGCUAAUUCCGUGCCAGCAGCCGCGGUAAUACGGAAGGUCCAGGCGUUAUCCGGAUUUAUUGGGUUUAAAGGGAGCGUAGGCCGUUUUUUAAGCGUGUUGUGAAAUGUACCGGCUCAACCGGUGAUGUGCAGCGCGAACUGGAAGACUUGAGUGCGUAGUAAGCAGGCGGAAUUCGUGGUGUAGCGGUGAAAUGCUUAGAUAUCACGAAGAACUCCGAUUGCGAAGGCAGCUUACUGUAGCGCAACUGACGCUGAUGCUCGAAAGCGUGGGUAUCGAACAGGAUUAGAUACCCUGGUAGUCCACGCGGUAAACGAUGGAUGCUCGUUGUCGGCCUGUGUGGUCGGUGACCAAGCGAAAGCGUUAAGCAUCCCACCUGGGGAGUACGCCGGCAACGGUGAAACUCAAAGGAAUUGACGGGGGCCCGCACAAGCGGAGGAACAUGUGGUUUAAUUCGAUGAUACGCGAGGAACCUUACCCGGGCUUGAACUGCGGCGGAACGAUUCCGAGAGGAUGAGGCCCUUCGGGGCUGCCGCGGAGGUGCUGCAUGGUUGUCGUCAGCUCGUGCCGUGAGGUGUCGGCUUAAGUGCCAUAACGAGCGCAACCCCCGUCUUCAGUUGCCAUCGGAUGAUGCCGGGCACUCUGGAGAUACUGCCACCGCAAGGUGUGAGGAAGGUGGGGAUGACGUCAAAUCAGCACGGCCCUUACGUCCGGGGCUACACACGUGUUACAAUGGCGCAUACAGAGAGUCGGUGGCAUGCGAGUGCCAUCCAAUCCUUAAAGUGCGUCUCAGUUCGGACUGGGGUCUGCAACCCGACCCCACGAAGCUGGAUUCGCUAGUAAUCGCGCAUCAGCCAUGGCGCGGUGAAUACGUUCCCGGGCCUUGUACACACCGCCCGUCAAGCCAUGGGAGCCGGGGGUACCUGAAGUCCGUAACCGUUGAGGAUCGGCCUAGGGUAAAACUGGUGACUGGGGCUAAGUCGUAACAAGGUAGCCGUACCGGAAGGUGCGGCUG